GUGCGAACAGGUGAGGAAACCCGAGAGCUAAGUUUUGGGGCGGGGCUGGAGUCGUAUUAGGUCGAAGGUGGUAUAAAAGACCACCUUGCCCAGGAUGCGUGGCUUUAAACUGGAAGCCAUCUUUUCACUGAAGCAAAGGGAGGGCUCAAAAAGGGAGCGAAAAGCUCCUGAGGCAGCAGUAUAUAACUUUAUGCAAUGUACGAAAGUGCGACAUAGAAGGGGCGUAUAACUUAAUCUGUCUAAUUAAGUGCCAGCAGACGCGGUGAAACUUAAGGAUUAGUAUUAUAGGAAAAAGCGUAAAGGGUGUGAGGGGCUUAUCCCAACAAGAGGGUAAAUGGAAUUUUUCUGUAGGGGUAGAAUGUGUAGAUAGAAAAAAGAACUCUAAACGCGAAGGCAAUUUAUCUCAUGGGUGGUACGCCAACUGCUCCGUUGUUACACGAAAGUAUGGGGAGCAAACAGGAUUAGAGACCCUGGUAGUCUAUAUUGCAAAUAAUGAAGAAGAUGUGAGGCAAUCCUAAAGGGCAAUAAAUUUUUCGCUUGAGUAGUAUGAUCGCAAGAUUUAAAUUCAAAAAACUUGGCUGCUCACUGCUAUGAUCAGAGGAGCGUGUCGUUUAAUUCGAUAGUCCGCGAGAGACCUUACCCAAACUUGAAUUCGCCCUUUAACAGGUAUUGCAUGGCCGUCGUCAAUUUGUGUAUUAAAUGUAAAACGGAUUCAACCCAGUGGUUGGCAACCCCUCGUCUUCGGAGCGGUGCCAUUAUUGGAUGAAGUCAGGUCUUAUUGUCCUAAUGUUUGGGGAUUAGAUGCGCUACAUUUUCUUAUACAAUGGGAGAUUUUGAAGGUGGAACCCUAAAGUAAGAGUUCGGGAGGUGGCUGGAAGAUAACUGAAAGUGGGAUUUGAUAGUAAUUAGAAAGUAGAGCGUUCUGGUGAAAUUGAUGCAGUGUUAGUACAAAUAGCCCGUCGCCUUGGUCAAGAAUGGGUACUCAAAUGC
rnacentral:rRNA from 1 species